UACAUACUCGCCUAAUGGUAAGGCAUCUGUCUCAUAAACAGACUAUUGCAGGUUCAAAUCCUGUGUGUGAACACA
rnacentral:tRNA from 1 species